GGGUGCGUAGCUCAGUUGGUUCAGAGCAUCUGGUUUACACCCAGAAGGUCAGGGGUUCGAAUCCCUUCGCACCCACAA
rnacentral:tRNA from 1 species